UCCACCCCCAGAAGAACCGCAACCGCCAGCCCCGAAAGAAGGGUUUGAUAUUGACAUGGAAGACAAUCUGGGGGAAGCUCCAAUGGAAAACAAUUAGUUUGCAUGGGCUGAGCAAAUGCGGAUGGGUUAGAUCCACAAGGCUAUGGUCCUAUGCAAUAGUGGGGUGAAGCCGAGCAAGAAGGCGAGGAAGAGGAAGAGGAUCCAGAAGAGAUGGAAGGAAAUUCUG
rnacentral:lncRNA from 1 species